UUAAGAGCUGAAUUAGAUGGAACUGCAUGU
rnacentral:piRNA from 2 species